AUAUUUUUUGACUGAGGAAAUCAACGUGAGCUUGCACGCCAGAAGAAUGCCAAAAAGCAGUCUGAACACACUAAAGGGAAGAGGGGCGACGAUGGACUGUCUGCUGCUGCACGGAAGCAGAGGGAUGCUGAGAUAAUGCAACAGAAGCAGAAAAA